AACAUAUGACUAUUACUCGCAUAUGGUCACACCUUAAUUGCUUCAUGUGACCAUCCACCCUCCAUCUCCGUAUUGGAACCCUAAUCCAUAUCUGCUGCCAUAUGUUCCACAUAUCCAACUUUGAGAAAAUUUUGAUAUCCGAUUUCCACAGUUCAUCAACAUCCAUUGAAGGUCGUCUUGGUCUGCCGUUUAUGCCAUCAUUCUCCAUUGAGGUGCUCAAGCAGCUUUCUUUUCCCCUUCAACUUUUUCUCUCUGAUGAAAAUUGAGAUGUAAAGAAGGCUAAAAGACCAUGGGAUCGAGAUGGUACUUGCUACGUAAUUGGGACCCCCUAUCCUAUGCCAUUAUUUAAAGAACUGAAAGAUGAAGAGGUGGAAUUCUUUAGGGCAAAGUUUGCUGGCAGCCAAGCUGAUCGAGCUAUCAAGGCAGAAGCCGAAGCAAAUAAAAUUGCUGAACAAAUGAAGAACUCAAAAGGUGCAAGUUGAUGUUUUUCUCUUUGGCAAUUUGGCUCCUUUUCAUUUGUGUGUGUGUGUUGUUUUUACUGGUUCCACUUAGGUUCCGUUUCCUUCAUGUGCCCUUCUUCUUGUGCACACUCACUUCAGAAAACAAGCCAAUUAUUACUGUGUAUUCAAUAUGAGUUCUAUGCUUUUAUAUAAAAUCUGAAGCAAUUCAUAUCAGCUUAAUUAAAGCCUAGUUUAUGAAAUUUUCAAUUUCGUUGUUACCUAUGCUAUAUAAAAUCUGAAUACUAUUAUUGUGCUGUGUUUUAUUUUCAUGCAAUCUGAGGAUCUUGUUAGACCGACGUCUAUGCUUUUGGAGGGAUUUGAUGCUCUUCUCAGAUACUGUUUCCAAGACCGUAGUACGGGUAAGAUCAGGCCUUGGCCCAAGGGAGGGGCGAGGUGGGCGAUCGCUGAAGGCCUACUCUCCCAAGGGACCGAGAUGUUUUAAAAAAUUUAUAUAUUUUUAAAUAGUCUAUUUAAUUCAUACAUCCGCAUACCAUGCAAUAAAAUGUUUGUAGUCUAGUUGGAAAUACCAUCUCGAAACACUGCAUAGGUCUUUGCUUCGAGACCCAGCAGUUGCGUUUUUAAUAUUUUAUGCAUGGUAGAUUCCUUAUUAAGUGAGAUAGAUUCACUAAGAUUUGGCCCAUAAGUGUAAACUGAAGCAUAAAAAUAUAUACAUAUUCAUUAUUGGUAUGGCCAAUGGCUUUUUUUUAACUUUAUUUAGCAUCAUGUGUAUAUAUAAUCAAUCGCUUUAUUUCUUAAAAUUUGUUUUUAAUGUCUUUCACACUCUAUAAAUAAUAGUUUCAUGUCUUAUUUCAAGUUCAAAUUUGUUGACAAGCGAAGCUCGAAUUGGCUCGGUUGUGAUUAGAGGCCCGUUUUUUUACUCGCCCUAGGCCCGAAAAUUUUAAAGAUUCUCAAGGACGGCCUUGGGAGAAAAAGGGAAUAGUCCAAAACUGGAAGACCACUACACUACAAGGGAUCUUUUUUCAAUCGCAUAAUCAAAGGAUCUUUGGCUCAGGUAUGUUUUUUUCAAUUAAUUCAAUAAAUUAUACAUACUUACUUUAUUUUCUACCUUGUUCUUUGAUUAUUUCUACUCCUACAAGUCUUGGUUGUUUGUCUUUUAGUCGACUAUGCUUGUUUACAAUGUUAGAUACAGGAUUGAUGGUCACUACUGCUUUCUUGUGAUGUAGUUUCAAGGUUGUACUUAUUGGGUACUUGGGUUAAAUAUCCUCACACAAUUCUGUAGAUAUCAUACAAGUCCAGUCAAAUGUGUGUGAAAGUAUGCUUUUAGUAAAAUACUUUUCUAUGAAACAAACUUUUAAAUCAAGUAGGUAUUUUGUAUUAUAAGAAACUAUUUUUUUUUACUGAAAGUAUGUUUUUACAUGCAAUUUUCAAGUUGGUAUUUUGUACUGUAAGAAACCAUUUUUUUUUACUGAAAGUAUGUUUUCUACAUGCAAUUUAUCAUUUGAUGAAGCUGCAAAUUAUAACUUUAUUUCAGCUACAUGGGGUUAUGGCUGGUGAGCUAAAAAUGUUGAGGGAGGGGUAGGAUUAUUGGUAUGAAGUUGCUGGUUAGUAUGAAUCCUUUAAGCAUGGGUUUGUUUUGGUUUUAGUUUCCAAUGGUUCGGUUUUGGAAUCAAACCGUAAACACCCUAGUGGGUAUAUGGUCAGUUGUAUUUUGUUGCAGGUUGGAUGUGCUAAUAGGUUGCUCAUUGGGGCUGCUAUGGGGAGAAUAGAGGUCAAGACUACUAGGAUGCUGAAGAGAAGAUUAAUGUCUUGUUUUUAUGAGUUCAGUUUAUUUUUUAUUAUUGUUUCUUUGUUUGGUUGCUUACUUGCUUUUAAGAGGUUAAUGGUUCAGUUCCACCCCUCUUGUAAGGUGGAAAGAAUGUAGCAAAUCGACCAAUUUAUUUUUAUGAAUGGGUCAAUUUGGGUUGUUUUUUCCCUAA